rnacentral:lncRNA from 13 species
UUGAGGCAGGAGAAUUGCUUGAACCUGAGAGGCGGAGGUUGCAGUGAGCCUAGACGGCGACAUUUCGCUCCAGCCUGGCUGACAGAGCAAGACUCUGUUUAUCCCCCCACCCCACCCCCAAAAAAACAAACAAAAUGUAUCUACAGUGUAACAAGUGAGGAAAGUGGUUACUUUAAGGAGGUAGGAGGCUAAUGCUUGGGAAGGACACAAAGGCAAGUUUCCGGGGGUGCUGAUAAUGUUCUGUUUCUUGACCCAGGCAUUGUCACUGUGGGGAGUGUGUGUUCACUUUGGAAUAAUUCGGUCAGUUCGACCCAUGGGUUGUGUAUAUAUAUUUUCCUGGCAGGUGAGUUGUGGACACUCCACUCCUUGGUGGAUUUUGGCUUCCAUGGCUACCGUCCUGAUGCUUUGUACAUUUUUCUGAUAAGAGCUUCAGUGAGAGCUUUUACAAAUCAACCGAAAGAAUAAACUACGAAGAGGAAAAUGGCCUGGAAAAAUAUGAUUUCAUACACAUAAGCUUUCCAGACACUCUUGUCUCCUGGCUCCUGUCCAAGCACAGUGGCCAGCCAUCUAGGCAGCCUUCCGCCUUUGUCUGCAGCCCUCCCCUCCUCUCACUCCAGGGGCUCUUUAUUGAUCGCCUCCCCGCCAGACCUUCCGUUGCCAUGGUAACGCCCCCCCCCCCACCGCGUAGUUCUGCACUUUUCUCUCCGAGGCUCAAAACAAGCAUUGCAGAAACGGUUCUUUGGAAUGUGGCUGGAGUGCAGUGGCACUAUCUCGGCUCACUGCAGCCUCUGCCUCCUGAGUUCAAGCGAUUCUCAUGUCUGAGCCUCUCCAGUAGCUAGGACUACAGGCGUGUACCACCUCGUCCAGGUAAGUUUUGUAUAUUUGGUGGAGACGGGGUUUUACCAUGUUGCCCAGGCUGGUCUCGAACUCCUGACAUCAAGUAAUCCACCUGUCUUGGCCUCUCAAGUUGCUGGGAUUACAGGCAUAAGCCACCACACCUGGCACAUUUUUUUUUUUUUUGAGACGGAGUUUCACUCUUGUUGCCUAGACUGGAGUGCAAUGGCGUGAUCUUGGCUCACUGCAACCUACGCCUCCAGGGAUCAAGCGAUUCUCCUGCUUCAGCCUCCCGAGUAGCUGGGAUUACAGGCAUGGGCCACCACACUUGGCUAAUUUUGUAUUUUUAGUAGAGAUGGGGUUUCUCCAUGUCAGUCAGGCUGGUCUCAAACUCCCAACCUCAGGUGAGCCACCCACCUUAGCCUCCCAAAGUGCUGG